rnacentral:rRNA from 1 species
UACCAUAUAGCUAGCCUUAUAACUUAAAUACAACAUACAACCACUAAUAACCCCUACGACCCUAUAAAGUCUAAAACAAACCAUUUUUCCCCCCUAGUAUAGGAGAUAGAAAAGGACACUAGAGCGAUAGAAAGAGUACCGCAAGGGAAUGCUGAAAGAGAAAUGAAAUAACCCAGAAAGUACCAAGCAGCAGAGAUUAUGACUCGUACCUUUUGCAUCAGGAUUUAGCCAGCAACCCCAAGCAAAGAGCCCUUCAGUUUGAACCCCCGAAACUAAGCGAGCUACUCCAAGACAGCCUAUAAUAGGGCACACCCGUCUCUGUGGCAAAAGAGUGGGGAGAACUUUGAGUAGAGGUGAAAGACCUACCGAGCCUAGUUAUAGCUGGUUGCCUGGGAUUUGGAUAGAAGUUCAGCCUCCCACCUCUUUUUCCCCACACUUUCACAUCACCAAGUUGGCUGAAAAGAAGCUGAGAGAGUUAAUCAAAGGGGGUACAGCCCCUUUGAUAAAGGAAACAACUUUUUUCAAGAGGAUAGAGAUUAUAAUAUUAGACUGUAUGCUUAGGUGGGCCUGAAAGCAGCCACCCCUAUAGAAAGCGUCAUAGCUCAAGUAUAGCCUUCCCCCGAUCCCUAUAAGUUAUCUUAUUCCCUUAAGCAUACCAGGCCCUUCCAUGCCAGCAUGGAAAAGAUAAUGCUAGAAUGAGUAAUAAGAGGACCCCCUCUCCCGGCACAAGUGUAAAUCGGAACGGAUACCCCGCCGAGCUUUAACGUCCCCAACCAAAGAGGGCAAUGUAUGGAAGACUAAAUAACAAGAAAAUCCACCAAACCCGGACCGUUAACCCCACACUGGUGUGCUCCUCGGGAAAGACUAAAACGAAGAGAAGGAACUCGGCAAACACAUAAAGCCUCGCCUGUUUACCAAAAACAUCGCCUCUUGCACACAAUGAAUAAGAGGUCCAGCCUGCCCUGUGACUAUAAGUUUAACGGCCGCGGUAUUUUAACCGUGCGAAGGUAGCGUAAUCACUUGUCUCUUAAAUGGGGACCUGUAUGAAUGGCAAAACGAGGGCUUAGCUGUCUCCUCUACCCAGUCAAUUAAAUUGAUCUCCCCGUGCAGAAGCGGGGAUUAAAACAUAAGACGAGAAGACCCUAUGGAGCUUUAGACGCUAGAACAGACUAUGUUAAGUGACCUCACACAGGUUGAAAACAAAGUAUUUACCUGCUCCAAUGUCUUCGGUUGGGGCGACCACGGGGCACUAAAAAACCCCCACGCGGAAUGGAAGCAAGACCUUCUACAACUAAGAGCCCCAGCUCUAAUAACAGAAAUUCUGACCAUGAAGACCCGGAAUGACCGAUCAACGGACCGAGUUACCCUAGGGAUAACAGCGCAAUCCCCUUCUAGAGACCCUAUCGACAAGGGGGUUUACGACCUCGAUGUUGGAUCAGGACAUCCUAAUGGUGCAGCCGCUAUUAAGGGUUCGUUUGUUCAACGAUUAAAGUCCUACGUGAUCUGAGUUCAGACCGGAGUAAUCCAGGUCAGUUUCUAUCUAUGGUAUGGCCUUUUCUAGUACGCAAGGAUCGAGAGGGCGGGGCCUAUGUUAAAGACAUGCCCCACCCUUACCUGAUGAGCGCAACUGAAAUAGGCAAGAGGGCUUACCCUUGUGCCCGAGAUAAUGGCAU